UCCCAUUUAUUUUGCUGUAUUGCUGUGGAUAUUCCCCUUGGUACUCUGGACAGGGUUUGGAGAUUUUUUUCUUCAUUCCACUGCUAGAGUACUUUUUUUAUUGCAUGGCAGUAAAAUUCUCUCAUGCACUAACUUGGCUGCAGAAUGGCAUUUUCUGGCAAAGGGAUGCUGCUUCUGCCUGCCAGCACUGCACUGUUCUUGGUGUCUUGGUGCCAUUUUCCACUGUAUCCCGUAUCCCCAGAAUCCACGGCUGUCUCUCAGGGUUCUAAAGGAGUGCUGUGUUUGGAUUUUUGGCUUCAGAGUGGGAAGUGCUCUGUAACCUGAUGUAACCUGUGGCAUCUCAGCUGUAGGCCAGGAACCCUGGAAAAGCAAGCUCGCAUUCACGAGGAGCCGCUUCCUCUUGAAAGCCCAGCUGUCUUGCAAGAGGUGCCGCACAGGGUAGGAAGAGUUGGGAGCGAACAGUCUGAGGAAGUGGACUGUGGAAGCUGAAGGUUGUCCAGCCAAAGCUGAGUGUGUGGCUCUGACACUGACCAAGGCUGGAAAGAGUUACUGUGUGGACAGAGAAUGUUAGAGCCGGGUGAGCUUUCACAGGAUGAAAGAAGCGAGGAGAGAAUCGAAUGGAAAGAAUUGCUGAGAUCAGGUUUGAGCCCUUUCUUUGGGUUUGGGAUUUGUUUGUGGUUUUUUUUGUUACCUAACACUACCUAGCACUUACUUACUUACUUACUGUGAGAUUUGAAGUUUUCUCCAAAAACUCAGAAUGAAUUUCCCCACUCUGCCCCACUGGUAGCAGCACACAGGAGAACAGAGCCUGUGGUUUGGAUCUUGAGGGAGUUCCAGCAGUACAAGCUAUGAGUUACCAUGUUUCUCCCAAAUUUACAUCCAGCAAAUCUGAGGAAUUACCUCUUGCCUGAGCAUUCCUGGUCUCUGUGACUCUUUAGUAAGAGACAGCUGGGACUGGCCAAGCUGAGACAGGAUCUGUUCCUGUCAAACCAUCUAUUUCCCACGCGGAUGAGAAUCUGGGGGGCAAGUGCCCACAUCACUCCUCACAAAUGCCCACACAUACUUCUGGGGCUGCUGUAUCUAUCUGCUGGAUUUGUCAGCGCCAGCAUUUGCGAAGGAUCACCUUGUGAGCAACUCAAAAGACACAUAAAUAGAGGCAGCAGCAAUUGUCUUGAGUUUACCUUAUGGUAAGGCUUAUGGAUAUUUUUAAUCACUAUAAGAAGGCUUAUGGAUAUUUUUGAUCACUUUCUUAGCACUUGCAAUUACCCCUGCUACCACACAAAAGAAACCGAGGAACAGGAAAGCUCCGCUCUGUAUCUCUGGCAGAAGAAAAGCCAGCAAACCAGUUUGCGUUCACCCCGAUUCCUAGUCCUGUGCUGCAAGUACAGAAAUAUCUUGAGCCUUUGGGAGGGGGACUGGGACUGUGGAACCCAGCUGCAUGUGUCUCCUAGGCCACGUUUUUCUUGGAAGCACCUUUCCUAGUUUCACUGCUUUUUGGAAAUGAACUGUUCUGAGCAGAACCAGUACCUUCAGACUCAGGGUCUGAAAACAAAACAACCAUAAAAACCACUAAAAAGCCCCCAAACCCACUGCCUAAGAGAACAAAGAAAGAGAAAAUAUACCGGGAUUCUUUUAAUAAACCUGAAUUUGUGGGAGGCACUGGGUUUGUUUUCCCUUCGUGCGGCAGCACGAAGUUUGCACGCAUUUUGCUGCCGCUUUGGCUCUCAAGAACUGGAAAUGCCUGGAUUUCUGCGUGGUUUCCCCAGGUUCUCCUAUUUAGCAGGAGCUGCACGGUGAGGUCGGUGUUCUGA